CAAUAGCGUAUAUUAAAGUUGUUGCGGUAAAAAAGCUCGUAGUUGGAUUUCUACCGAAGAUAGCCGGUCGGGUCUUCGACCUUGUAUCUGGUUUUGUCUUUGGUAUCCUCAUAGGGAACGUUUCUGCGCUUUAUUGCGUGGUGCGGUAUCUAUGACUUUUACUUUGAGGAAAUUAGAGUGUUCACGGCAGGCAAACGCCUUGAAUAUAUUAGCAUGGAAUAAUAACAUAGGAUCUUCGUCCUAUUUUGUUGGUUUCUAGGGCUAAGAUAAUGAUUAAUAGGGAUAAUUGGGGGCAUCUGUAUCAACGCGUCAGAGGUGGAAUCCUUGGAUUGCGUUGCGACAAACUACUGCGAAAGCAUUUGCCAAGGAUGUUUUCAUUGA
rnacentral:rRNA from 1 species